UCUGCCCGCCCGCGUUUCAUCUCCGAAAUCAGGCCUCUCUCUCUACCGUCAUUUUCCUUCUCCACCGCGCACCUCCGGUCCCAUCCGUCCGUUGGCGCUGGCGCGCCGCAACCCUCAUGCCGACGCCGACGCCCUCCCCCUGAUCUCCGUCGUCGCGGCGCUCUUCCCAUCCAGUCCCCAUCCACUGAUUUCGCCCCUCCCCCCUUACUACUCUUCCCUUCCUAUCGUCGCUCCUCACUCCGCGCUCCCAUCCUCCGAUCCUCGGCGGAGUGCGAGCACGCGGAGCCACUGGCGGGGAUGGAAUUGGAGCGGAGCACCUGCGCCGGCGCUGGCCGGCGUGAGCUGCGCUGCCGCCCCCACCGCCCGUGCACACGAGCCCGUGCAGGCAAAAGGAGGGACUAACUGCAUGGUGGAUCGGAGGUGACUCUCUUCUCUUCUGCCGGAGAAGAAAUUCUAUUGAUUAACUGUAUCAAUAGAUAUUCUAUUGUUUUAUUUAAUAUUCAUUAAUAAUUGUGAUGACAUCAAUACAAAUUAGUCAGUUCUCGCCAUUUUGAAACUUA